AAUGCGAAAGCAAGGGAAGCAACAGAUUAGAUACCCUGGUAGUCCUUGCCGUAACGAUGGGUACUAGGUGUGGGCUAGCAAUAGUCCGUGCCGCAGUCAACACGUUAAGUACCCCACUUGGGGACUACGACCGCAAGGUUAAAACUCAAAGGAAUUGACGGGGACCCGCACAAGCGGUGGAGCAUGUGGUUUAAUACGACGUUACGCGUGGAACCUUACCAGGACUUGACAUGUACUUGAAAUCCGCCUGAAAGGGUGGACCUCCCUCAAGGACAGGUACACAGGUGUUGCAUGGCUGUCGUCAGCUCGUGUCGUGAGAUGUUGGGUUAAGUCCCGCAACGAGCGCAACCAUUGUUUUUAGUUGCCACCCUGCCUUUGGCAGGAGCACUCUAGAGAGACUGCCUGUGUUUAACAGGAGGAAGGUGGAGACGACGUCAAGUCAGUAUGGCCCUUACGUCCUGGGCUACACACGUGCUACAAUGGCUGGUACAAAGAGAAGCGAGACCGUAAGGUGGAGCAAAUCUCAAAAAGCCGGCCCCAGUUCAGAUUGAAGGCUGCAAUUCGCCUUCAUGAAGUUGGAAUCGCUAGUAACCGCACAUCAGCCACGGUGCGGUGAAUACGUUCCCGGGUCUUGUACACACCGCCCGUCAAGCCACCUGAGUUAAGUGCACCCGAAGUCGCCGUACCAACCCUCACGGGAGGAAGGCGCCGACGGUGUGCUUGGCGAGGAGGGCUAAGUCGUAACAAGG
rnacentral:rRNA from 1 species